rnacentral:rRNA from 1 species
UGGGGAAUAUUGCACAAUGGGCGAAAGCCUGAUGCAGCGACGCCCGGUGAGGGAUGACGGCCUUCGGGUUGUAAACCUCUUUCAGUAAGGGAAGAAGCGAAAGUGACGGUACCUGCAGAAGAAGCGCCGGCUAACUACGUG